ACACUGAUGGUGAAACGGUAUCAUGCUUGCCUUCCACCAAAAAAACAGGAUGUUUCUCUCAGCAAGCGGCGUGGGUUCGACUCCCGCUCAGUGUA